CCAGUUCAUCACAAGGUCGUAGGACGUCCUGGGCAGGAAAGCAGUGCAGCACAAGGUCGUAGGACGUCCUGGGCAGGAAAGCAGUGCAGCACAAGGUCGUAGGAUGUCCUGGGCAGGAUAGCAGUUCAGCACAAGGUCGUAGGAAGUCCUGGGCAGGAAAGCAGUGCAUCACAAGGUCGUAGGACGUCCUGGGCAGGAAAGCAGUGCAUCACAAGGUCGUAGGACGUCCUGGGCAGGAUAGCAGUGCAGCACAAGGUCGUAGGACGUCCUGGGCAGGAAAGCAGUGCAUCACAAGGUCGUAGGAUGUCCUGGGCAGGAUAGCAGUUCAGCACAAGGUCGUAGGACGUCCUGGGCAGGAAAGCAGUGCAUCACAAGGUCGUAGGACGUCCUGGGCAGGAAAGCAGUGCAUCACAAGGUCGUAGGACGUCCUGGGCAGGAAAGCAGUGCAUCACAAGGUCGUAGGACGUCCUGGGCAGGAAAGCAGUGCAUCACAAGGUCGUAGGACGUCCUGGGCAGGAAAGCAGUGCAUCACACGGUCGUAGGACGUCCUGGGCAGGAAAGCAGUGCAUCACACGGUCGUAGGACGUCCUGGGCAGGAAAGCAGUGCAUCACACGGUCGUAGGACGUCCUGGGCAGGAAAGCAGUGCAUCACACGGUCGUAGGACGUCCUGGGCAGGAAAGCAGUGCAUUACAAGGUCAUAGGACCCAUCAGUUCAGUACAGCAAAAAGAAGCACUGUAGCAGGGCUGUUACAGUGCCAGUGCUGGUAUGGAUUUCACCCCUCUGUUUCUUGUGCACAGGUCUUCCUGAAUACAUGCAUGAGCUGUGGGUGUGGCGCGAUCGCGCUGACCGCCAUCGUGCUGUACUCCAUAGACCUGGCUAAUGGAGCUGGCGUCCCAUGGGCCUGCCGACAAAAUGACUACAACAACAACAACUAUGGCUAUGGCUACGGCUACGGCUACCGUACAACAAUCGCGCCCGAGGUCGCCCACAUGCGAGACAUUAACAGGCGCAGAAUCUUUGAGCUCUGCAACGAGAAAAGGCACAUGCUGCUGAUGAUGCUUGGGGGAAUAGAUAUUGUGUUGCUGGUUUGUGCUGUUCUACAGCUGUGCAUCAAUAUCAGUGUCAUUGUCGUGAACCUAAAGGCUCUGUGUCAGAAGCACAAGGAGGAUAAGGAGGACCCAAAGCUCCUUAAACCUCUUCUGGAUGAAGUUGCCGUCAUUCCUACGGUGUGAAGGAGCGACCCAUCAUGCACUGCUGCCAACGCGCACUAGUACAUGCUUCAUACAGCCACAUUUUCUUGAUUUGUGAUUCAGAAUGAACUCCUUGAGCACAGCUUUGGUCUCAGCCCAUCACAUGCUUGAUUAUCCGUUUAAAUCCCUUUCAAAUGUUCACAUUUAUAUUGUUUGAGUUAUACUUCAUUUUCUGAGACAUUUAUGACUCUUUAAAGGGGCAAUAUGGAAAGAGGGAAGCACUUUUCUUUAAAUGACUGUUUAUAUAAUCAUCACUUUUUACUCUUUUGAAUAAACUAAUUCAGCAUAACUGAGCUGUGAAUUGGAGAAAUACCAUCUAAAUAGGAGUUUGGCACCACAGACCAGCCCAUGUAACUUUUAUGGUCAGAAUUCAUCAUUGUUACUCUUUGAACUUCUGUAAUAAAGCAAGUUGCGCAAACUA